AGUCGUAGUAUCUUGUUAAAUUGACACAGAUGCAGCUACUACCCAUGAGUUUAGAUAAGUGCUGGGCUUUGUGGGUUGUGGCAUAAGAGGGCAGUAAUAUAAGCAGUGCUAGAGGAGAAUCGACUGAGACUCUGAAUCGACGCUUAACCAUCAUUAGAUAACUGAAGUGGCAGCCUCAAGGCCAGAAGCUCCCUCAGAAGAAUGGUUGCAAUAGCAUUCACAAUUUAGAGUCCCCAUGGACUUCCUGAAGGUUGUUGGAAAGGACACCAAUGUCAUGUUGGUGGCUUUGGCAGCAAAAUGUCUUACUGGCCUGGCUGUUGGGCUAAGGAAGAAAUUUGGACAAUAUGCAGGACAUGUUGUGCCAACCAUCUUAGAGAAAUUCAAAGAGAAGAAACCUCAAGUGGUACAAGCCCUGCAGGAGGCAAUUGAUGCAAUCUUCCUUACUACCACACUACAGAACAUCAGUGAGGAUGUUUUAGCAGUAAUGGAUAAUAAAAAUCCAACCAUCAAGCAGCAGACAUCUCUUUUUAUUGCAAGAAGUUUCCGCCACUGCACUGCUUCUACCCUGCCA
rnacentral:sRNA from 1 species